AGCAAGCAAACAGAAAAAAAACCAACAAAACCAGCUCAGGGGAGCCGAUGUGGCUCAGUGGUUGAGGCUCCCCACAGCUGAGGUCCUGAGUUUAAUCCCUGGCCCCGGGACCAAAAAAAAAAAAAUUAUUAGGGAGCCCCUAGUCACUUUUUCUGGGCACGGGGGACCUUUUUGAUGGUCAGGAGGAGGAUGCUGAAGGCAUUGCCCCUCUGAAUCUCCCUGGACUGAGGCGGCCCUAGUUUGGAAUACAAACAACCCCUGCAAGUCACUUUUGGGGAAAACAGGGCCAAGCGAUUCUGAGUUGAUUUUAUUUUAUCUGAAGGAAGUGAGGGAGACCACAGAUUCGAGAGUGAUUUCUGCACCAUCGGGGAGUUCAGCAGCGGCACGGGUCCAACGUCCCCCUUAAGGCCUUGUGUAUAUGAUGUGGAAACAACCUGUGAAUCCAUUCUCAGAGAUUCCCGGGAACCAGCCGGGGCAACAGCACUCACCCCCACCGCCGUGAGGAGUUGCAGCC
rnacentral:lncRNA from 1 species